rnacentral:rRNA from 1 species
CUUGCUCCUGAUGUUACGGCGGANGGGUGAGUACACGUGGGUACCUGCCUGUAAGACUGGGAUAACUCCGGGAAACCGGGGCUAAUACCGGAUGGUUGUNUGAACCGCAUGGUUCAGACAUAAAAGGUGGCUUCGGCUACCACUUACAGAUGGACCCGCGGCGCAUUAGCUAGUUGGUGAGGUAACGGCUCACCAAGGCGACGAUGCGUAGCCGACCUGAGAGGGUGAUCGGCCACACUGGGAACUGAGACACGGCCCAGACUCCUACGGGAGGCAGCAGUAGGGAAUCUUCCGCAAUGGACGAAAGUCUGACGGAGCAACGCCGCGUGAGUGAUGAAGGUUUUCGGAUCGUAAAGCUCUGUUGUUAGGGAAGAACAAGUGCCGUUCAAAUAGGGCGGCACCUUGACGGUACCUAACCAGAAAGCCACGGCUAACUACGUGCCAA